GGAAGGGGUCUGGAAGAUGAAAGCACUCUCUCUUAGAGGCCUGUUUGACACUCUCUAGCUUUCACUACUCAGUUUCUUCUCAGACCUGUUUUCUCACCUGCACACUGCAGAGAAGACUCUGCCAACGGUAGUUGUCCCUAGAGCCAAGGACCAACCUUUGUACUUUUCUCAAGACUGCUUGAUGAAGGCGAGCCUGUGCCCUGGUGUUUGUUAAAUGUUUGCUUAAAUUAGAGAUAAAGAAAAAGAGAGGCGGAUGAGACAUGAGACUAAGAGACAUAGUAGACAAAUUAAUCAGUUUAUUAUAGGCCUGGCAGAGUAGGGAAGACUAAGAAAGAGGAACAUGGUUAAUGGCUGACAGCCAUGGCCAGUCGCCAUAGAGAAACAGAGAGAGCAUAAAGAGACAGAAAGAAGACAAGAGCAGAAGCAGAGAGAAGAGUAGAGAGAGAGAGAGCAAAGAGAGAGCGUAAAUGGGCAGGGUCUGUCUUUUAAAGGGGUCCUCUGCACCUGGGUACAGAUUUAGUUCCCAUGGAACCCUGGACUGACCAGGGUACUGCCUGUUCCACAAGGUAACAGGCAGGCCAGCAUAAUGCCUGAACCUUUCAGUGUUCCCACAGGAGUGCACACAGGCCAGAGACACUGAAUGUCAUUUCUCCCUCCUUCUGUUCCCUUGUUUUAGAUUCCAAGCUUUUUUUUGUGUAGGGAGAGAAUAGCAAAACCACUUGCAUCCACGGUUCCUGCUCCUUCCCGCCCCAGCAGGCUCAGAUUUCACUGAAUGGAGACUCUGCUCUCCAACCAGAAACACCGAAGGCGAGCUCACUGUGGGAAUAGAGAUGACUCAUGGCUCAGCCUAAGCAGCAAGUGAGAAAGGAAGAGAGAUUUUAUUCUCCCCACGGUGAGGAAGGUACUUUAGUGUUAAUUGUUACACCAGCUCUUGUUGAGUCUUUAGGAAGUUAGCAUCAGAAUGAGGAGCUGGAAGCUCAAGUCUUUGGACCUGGUUAGGUAAAGCCAGCAAUCACAAUGGGAUGAAACCAGGUGCAUUAGCCACAGGGCACGAAGUUCAGCAGGCUCCCACCUUCCUGAGUGAGCAGAAGAGAAACUGAAAAACAGAGUGGAAUGACUGUGGAGAGUAAAGGAGAACGGGAGCUGAGGAGAUGCUUGUCCUGCUAACAUGAGGAACCGAAGUUAGACCCCAGAACCAACAGAACAAGUCAGGCUCAGAGUCACACUUCUGUAAUCUCAGUGCUGGCGAGGCUAAGGAGGUGGGUCCCUGAAACCCACUUGCCAGCAAGUCUAUCUGAAUCAAUGAGCUUCAGGGGAGUGUGAGACCCUGUUUCAGAAAGCACCGUGGUUGCUUAAGAGCACUUGUUAUCCUUGAAGAGAACCUGGCGCUCAGUUUCCCUGCAGCUACCUGGUAGCUAACAGACACCUGUGACUCCAGUUCCAAGGAAUAGGAUGUCCUCUUCUGACCUCUGGGGACACCAGGCAUGCACACGGUGCAUAUGUGUACAUACAGGCAAAACCCUCAGGCACAAAAAAUAAAUUUUUUAAAAGUAAGGUGGAGAACAGUUGAGAAAGACAGCCAGUGUCACCUCAUCCACAGAACACACCCAGGAAGGACACUUUCCUAGUAGGAGGUGUCUCUGUGGUAAAGCAGCUUCCCUGAGUAUGCUGAGACCCAAGAGCUGUCUCCUUAGCAGUUCAAAGCUCUACUGUUCUUCCCUUUGAGUUCUGAAGAUGUCCCAAAGCCUUCAAAGGAGUUCUGUUUUAGUAUCGACAACCAGGGAGGCAAGCAGGACUGUUGGGAGGAUCACUGAGGGCAGAGAACAGUGGGGCUCCACAGCUCACACAAGAGGAUGGGAAGUCGGUGGGCAUGGUCCCCCUGCAUUUUCUGAGAGAAGACUGUGUUAGACUAAGAGGUCAAUGAACAAACUAAAGGAGAAUCUGCAGUCAAGGAGGCUGAGUGAGAGCAGGAAGCUGUGAGGUCAGGCCAGCCCUGAAGAUGACUCAGGGAGCUCAGUGCUGGGCCCUUGGGUCUGCACAGAGAAAUGAACCCUGGCUGGAUGGAGGUGAAUCAUUACCAAGGAGCUCAUGGGUACUUAUGCCCUCUCCAGAUGCCUUCAGCUAAGGAGGAGAAGAAGAAGCAGGGCAGCCCACAGAGACCUGCUCCGAGGAGACAGAGGCUAAAACAAGUAGAAAAUGGAUUACAGGAGCCUCAGCAACAUGUCUCUGGAGUCAGCACCAUCUCCUGGAAAUGCUCCACCAGAGUUUAUGAGACCUGUGUAAACACACCAGGAUGAUGUUCCUGGUGACCUUUAAACUGUUUGCCUUUCAGGAAGAUUCUGAGCAGACUGACUGUCCUGGCAGAUCCUUGGGAUUCCAGACUUAAACUGAAGGAAAGGAAAGGAAAGGAAAGGAAAGGAAAGGAAAGGAAAGGAAAGGAAAGGAAAGGAAAGGAAAGGAAAGGAAAAGAAAAGAAAGGAAUCUGAACCAGAUCCCACCUGCGUUGAAGUGUCACAAGUGGCACUGCGGAAGAUCUGGGCAUAAUAUCCCCUCUCCUCCACCUGGUGUUGCUGGGCCUUGGGGGUUGUGCCCAGUGCUUACCCUGUCCCAACAACUUUCCUGGGCAGGAACUGCUAUUAUUACUGUACGGAGGGUAAAAUCUGGAGUUCCAUACCCUAUGAGGAUGCAAAUUUCUCACAUGUAAAGUGCUGUGUGCCUGGCAGGCUGUGAUAGAUUUAGCCAAGAAAAACAACACAGUGGGUGCUCUUGACAUGGGUAAUGGAUGUAUGAAGAGCCCAACCCAGGCUCCACAAGCCCAAUAUGCCAGGUUCCUUUCAUGUCUCCAGGCAGGCUCCUCUAAUACCUUCUGUUCUAGAGUCUUUCCUGGACAUAGCUCCCUCCUCCAGCUCUGCCAGGGAGUCCCUUCCUGUGACAUCCUUAGAGCCUGAAAAAAUAAGGGACUCUUCUUAGGGUUCUUUUUCUGUCACUCAUUUUGAUGACCAUGCAGAGGUGACAGAAAUAGCCAGUAUGAUGAAUCAGACAAGCGUAUAUAUCAUAUAUCAGUGGUCAGGAAUGUUGGGCUCUCAUUUCUAGAUCCUUCAGCUGGUUUCUUUUUUUUUUUUCAGGAUAUGAAAAAAAACCUACAUAGGUAGAUUUGGUACAUGAAAAGUGAGUAUCCCACCUCCUUGUGGCCUGGCCUUCAAGGAAGUGCAAUUCCAAUGGGUUCUUGCUCUGCCUUUGUAGUGAGCAUUCAGGUUGGGGACACCUUUAGAUAAGAUGACCUCUGUCCACUCAUAUUUGGGCAACCCUGCAUGUUUAUGAAGCUAGAUGUUAGUGGAAAGAAGGAUAAAUAAUAAGGAAAAAAAGGAAGGAGAGAGGAAAGGAAAAAAGGAAGGAAGGAAGGAGAAAAGACAAAGA
ensembl:lncRNA